GACAGAGGGUGCAAGCGUUGUCCGGAUUUAUUGGGUUUAAAGGGUGCGUAGGCGGCCUUGUGAGUCAGUGGUGAAAUACUCUAGCUUAACUAGAGGGGUGCCAUUGAUACUGCAGGGCUUGAGUUAAGUUGAAGUUGGCGGAAUUGACGGUGUAGCGGUGAAAUGCUUAGAUAUCGUCAAGAACACCUAUUGCGUAGGCAGCUAACUAAGCUUUAACUGACGCUGAGGCACGAAAGUGUGGGGAUCAAACAGA
rnacentral:rRNA from 1 species